rnacentral:sRNA from 1 species
UGGUACAACAAGAAAUCAGAAACUAGAUACUUCGAGAGUAAGUUCGUUCAGCAAUAGAGUGAAGUCACAAUGGUCCCUUGAGGGUGUUUUUCUGCCUACAAAAUCAGAGUCCCCUGUAGAGUUCUAAAGUGCCACAGCCUUCUACAAGCUUCUUAGCAUUUUCACUGAUUUAGAGGAAGCUUCUCUGAUGAAGGCUGAGUGGGGCAAUGAUCUAUGAAAACUCAGGGUGCUCUUAAUCAGGCUGUGCGGAAACAACAUCCUUUGGUAUUUACCCAAAGAAGAUCAACAGCUUCCUCCGCACCGAGUCUGCACAGGAAUGCAGCAGACAAUGCCUUCAUGUUGUCUAGCCUUGAACUCUGAGUUUCAAGAUGACAUGCGGAGCAUUUUUCAAGAUUAUCCUCUAGGCUUAUGAAUCAAGAUUGGCCUUGGAGUUGAUUCUGAAAGACAUCAAAGAAAGGAAACCUCAACUGAAGAUUCGAAACUAGGUCUACCCAACGCUAGAGACUGUUAGGAGAGCAAUGCAUAGGAUGCAUGACCGAAAUCACCUGCUAAGUGGCAUUUACUGCUCACUAAUAAACCAAAAGACCAUUUGUUA